GGGGGCGAUACGGUUUCGACGGGGGGACUUGCGGGUGUGACCCGCGUGCCGAGGCCCGGAACCUCGUAAUAAUCCGGACCCUUUAUAGUUGCCAAUGACAACUAUGCCAUGGCCGCGUAGAGUACGUGGUCCGCUUCGCCUGACCUUGUUGGUGGGUCAGGGUCGAAGUGUCACCUUAGCCGACUAGCCGAAGCGGAGCUUACCCAGGCGCUGCCAAGCGAAAUUAAAUUGGGAUCGGUCUGCCGGUACCCGGCCGUAGGGGGACCAACGACCUAAAAACAAAUCAUCGGCUACGCACGUAGACGGCACAUCCAAAGCCUUUCGGACGGGGGUUCGACUCCCCCCGCCUCCACCA
rnacentral:tmRNA from 1 species